rnacentral:rRNA from 1 species
UACAGAGGUCUCAAGCGUUGUUCGGAAUUACUGGGCGUAAAGGGCGCGUAGGCGGCCUCUUUAGUCAGACGUGAAAUCCCCCGGCUUAACCUGGGAACUGCGUCUGAUACUGGGAGGCUAGAGUUCGGGAGAGGGAUGUAGAAUUCCAGGUGUAGCGGUGAAAUGCGUAGAUAUCUGGAGGAAUACCGGUGGCGAAGGCGGCAUCCUGGACCGAAACUGACGCUGAGGCGCGAAAGCUAGGGGAGCAAACGGG